UACGGAGGGCGCAAGCGUUAUCCGGAUUCACUGGGUUUAAAGGGAGCGCAGGCGGGCUGGUAAGUCAGUGGUGAAAGCCUUGAGCUUAACUCGAGAACUGCCAUUGAUACUAUCAGUCUUGAAUAUUGUUGAGGUUUGCGGAAUGGGUCAUGUAGCGGUGAAAUGCAUAGAUAUGACCCGGAACACCUAUUGCGAAGGCAGCAGGCUAAACAAAGAUUGACGCUGAGGCUCGAAAGCGUGGGGAUCAAACAGG
rnacentral:rRNA from 1 species